UACGUAGGGUGCGAGCGUUAAUCGGAAUUACUGGGCGUAAAGCGUGCGCAGGCGGUUUUGUAAGUCAGAUGUGAAAUCCCCGGGCUUAACCUGGGAACUGCGUUUGAAACUACAAGGCUAGAGUGUGGCAGAGGGGGGUGGAAUUCCGACGUGUAGCAGUGAAAUGCGUAGAGAUGUGGAGGAACACCGAUGGCGAAGGCAGCCCCCUGGGUUAACACUGACGCUCAGGCACGAAAGCGUGGGGAGCAA
rnacentral:rRNA from 1 species